UCUUCCCUCUUUCUUCGUGCCUAAUACAUGCAAGUCGAGCGAACAGAUAAGGAGCUUGCUCCUUUGACGUUAGCGGCGGACGGGUGAGUAACACGUGGGUAACCUACCUAUAAGACUGGAAUAACUCCGGGAAACCGGGGCUAAUGCCGGAUAACAUGUUGAACCGCAUGGUUCUACAGUGAAAGGCGGCUUUGCUGUCACUUAUAGAUGGACCCGCGCCGUAUUAGCUAGUUGGUGAGGUAACGGCUCACCAAGGCAACGAUACGUAGCCGACCUGAGAGGGUGAUCGGCCACACUGGAACUGAGACACGGUCCAGACUCCUACGGGAGGCAGCAGUAGGGAAUCUUCCGCAAUGGGCGAAAGCCUGACGGAGCAACGCCGCGUGAGUGAUGAAGGUCUUCGGAUCGUAAAACUCUGUUAUUAGGGAAGAACAAAUGCGUAAGUAACUGUGCGCGUCUUGACGGUACCUAAUCAGAAAGCCACGGCUAACUACGUG
rnacentral:rRNA from 1 species